GUGACAGCAUGCUCUCCUUUAACAAUCAGGAGACACGUGGAGCUUUUCCUGCUACAGUCUGUGGUAGGAUCAAGCCCUGGAAGACACAGAUGUUCAACCUGCCGACCACAGCCCAGGCAUUCCACAGCCGGCCUCCCAGGAGCCUUGCCAGUCUGGAAGUGAUUUUUGACUUUCAACAUUCUUCAAAAUCUAAUUCUGAACAAACAAAGCUUCUUUUCUACUGUCUCAAAUUUGCCUUAGCUGCCCUCCUGAGGCACGCAAAGACGUCCUUCUAGACGCACUCUUCCUACCCAGGUGUUAUUGAUGUUCUGUAGAGGGUAAACUCUGCCCUCCAAAAUGUGAUUCAACGGUCUGAGAAUCUGUGGCUUGACUGUCCCACAGGAUUAUUGUGGGGAUUAACAUUAAAAUGAGAUCAUAUGCAAUAAAUCUAAUGCAUUAUGUAAAUGUAAGGUAAUAUUAUGAUUCUAAGCCUCUAGAUAUUUCCCAUCUUUGGAAAAUAAUAGAAGAAUGUCACCACAAGACAAAUGUUCAGCUGUUCACCGAGGAAGUUGAACUCUGAUCCCCCUUGAACAUUCCACACAUCUGUUAACAUCCAUUCCUCCAUGAUGUCCAUUUAUUUAAUACCUCUGAUCAAUAACCUCAUUUCUCCCUAGUCUCUCUUUUACUAGCCUCUUUGAUAGAUUUAAUUAAAGUAAUGCACUUUAUGGGGAUUUGAAAUCAGGUACUUGAGUAUGUCACUUCCUGGUACAGGCCCUCAGCUUCCCUUUUAUAAAGCGGAAAUUAGGAGGGGGAAAGAGAAAGAAAGGGUACAGUUUGCUUCUGCUCAAUUCACAGUGGCAUGAAGCCGAAUAAAGACUGGUCCAGAAAGUGUUUGGAAUCCUAUAAUUCCUGUAAUUAUCUUAUUUUAAAAAAAAAGUUAUAUUAACCUCAAAACCAGUCACAUUCUUUUGAGUGCCAUAAAACCAUUAAUUUUCAGAACAAAUCCAUGGCUGGUUAGUUCACCAAUAGAAAACAUGAAUUCCUAGGCAGGCAAAAAGAUGACUGAGUUUAAUGCAGGAAUGGGAGAUGCUGGUUGUGGAGAAAGUAAGGCACGUAUCCUGUUUUCUUAAUAGUAAUGUGCUAAACCAGCAGCUAUUCUUUGAGAUGGGAGAGGGGCUAAUGUGCUAAACCAGCAGCUAUUCUUUGAGAUGUGAGAGGGGCUAAUGUGCUAAACCAGCAGCUAUUCUUUGAGAUGUGAGAGGGGCUUGGGGCAUGGAAAGAAGAUGCCUAAGAGGAACUGUAAUAGAAUUACAGGAAUUUAUAAAUUAUUAAAAAAUUACAGGAAUUUAUAAAUUCCUGUAAUAAAAGGAAUUUACAAGGCACAAAACUGAAAUAAUAAGAGUCCUAGAUUAAUUUUACUUUCUUGAGAACCUUGUGACCCCUAUAAAUAUUUUCUCUGACUGGCAUGGUGGCUCACGCCUGUAAUCCCAGCACUUUGGGAGACUGAGGUGGGUGGAUCAGGAGGUCAGGAGUUCGAGACCAGCCUGGCCAACAUGGCGAAACCUCCGUCUCUACUAAAAAUACAAAAUUAGUUGGGCGUGGUGACACAUGCCUGUAAUCCCAGCUACUCUUGAGGCUGAAGCAGGAGAAUCACGAGAACCUGGGAGGCGGAGGUUGCAGUGAGCUGAGACUGUGCCACUGCACUCCAGCCUGGCAACAAGGGUGAAACUCUGUCUCAGAAAAAAAAAAAAUCUCUAUGCGCCAUUGACCACAGCAAUUUAAGUAUUGUGCGCCCCCCCCAAAAAAAAACCCAAACAACAGAAACAAAAAACAAGAAAUACCCUUGACUGAUGGUAAAAGCAGUAAGAUCUUAAUUUUGUGAUAUAUAAAUCUCCGAACAUAUUAUUUGGUGCAUCGAUACCUAUAUGUUCAUUAAAAGUUAGGGCCUAAUACAUUUCUUCCAUUUAUUGAAGAAAUAGUGGCUUUUUCAAAGAGAGUUAAACUGAAAAACAGAGAUAAAGCAUUCUUAUUUCUCAAGGAUAACAAAACUUGUUUUGAAGAAUCAGCAGUAUCUAGAUUCGAAAAGAAAAUGGCAUCAACUUGUGUGUGUCAUGCCCUCAAGGUUUUCUGUGUGAUUUUGGAUGAACCUCUCGAUCUCCCUGUUUCAUCUGCAAACCUGCAAAUAGCUUUGGAAUGAGUACUUAAACAAGCAUGGAGUAAUCAUUGGUUAAAUAAAAGAGGUUUUGAUGAAUGAUCUGUAUUGCCAGGCAAACUGAACCACUCAAUGUUUCUAUAAAGAUCACGCAUUUUCCUGACUCCACACUUUUUCUUAUGCCAUUUCUCUCACUAAGAAUGCCAUGGUCCUGUCUUGUUCUAAUUUUACCUAUUCUCCAAGGACAAGGUCAACUGACUUUCGUGUUUUCAGCUUUUCCGGCGUCUUUACCUGGAAGUACUAUUGCUUCUCCCAAACCUGCUUUAAAAACAGCAUUUGUUCUCUAUCUCUUAUAGAUUUGUAGAGUAGUAUUUUUAAUAUAUUUAAUUAAACGACUUAUGCCCUUCCUUUAGAGGGCAGGGAUUGUAUGUGAUUUAUCUUAGAACUUGGCAUGUGAUAGGCACUUAAUAAAUAUUUAUUGGGUGGAUGGCAUGACAGUUAGUUUUAUGUGUCAACUUGGCGAGGCUCUUAGUACACAGUCAUUUAAUCAAACACUAAUCUAGGUGUUCCUGUGAAUGUAAUUUAUAGAUUUGGUUAACAUCUACAGUCAGUUGACUUUAAGUAAAGGAGAUUACCCUAGAUAUUGUGGAUGAGACUUCUCCAAUCAGUUGAAAAUUCCUUAAAAGCAAAAACUGAAGUUUGUAGAAGAAAUUCUCCAACAUAAACUCCUGCAAGCCUGCCUUAUGCUUUUCAACUUGCCUGCCUGACAGAUUUUGAACUCAUCAGUCCUCACAGUUGUAUAAAUCAGUUUCUAAAAAUAAAUCUUUAGGACUCCCGGAGGACGAAAUGUUUGCUUUGUUCACUGCUGUAUCCCCACUAUCAAGAACAGUGCCUGACACAUAAUAAGGAU
rnacentral:lncRNA from 1 species